AUUGAACGCUGGCGGCAGGCCUAACACAUGCAAGUCGAGCGAGCGGCGGACGGGUGAGUAAUGUCUGGGAAACUGCCUGAUGGAGGGGGAUAACUACUGGAAACGGUAGCUAAUACCGCAUACCAUCGGAUGUGCCCAGAUGGGAUUAGCGUGUAGGUGAGGUAACGGCUCACCUAGGCGAAGAUCCCUAGCUGAUAUGCGAGGAUGACGAGCCACACUGGAACGGAGACACGGUCCAGACUCCUACGGUAGGCAGCAGUGGGGAAUAUUGCACAAUGGGGGCAAGCCUGAUGCAGCCAUGCCGCGUGUAUGAAGAAGGCCUUCGGGUUGUAAAGUACUUUCAGCGGGGAGGCGUUACCCGCAGAAGAAGCGCCGGCUAACUCCGUGCCAGCAGCCGCGGUAAUUC
rnacentral:rRNA from 1 species